UGAAUAAGAAUACUAGUACUCCUGCACUAUACAGUAUUUGCCUCCAAUUAUUUAUUUUUCGUGUCUUCAAUUUAAAAUUAUGCAUGGGCCAUUGACAGACUGACAUUUUCCUGAUAUCCAAUGUUUAUAUGGCAGGUUAUGACAAGUGCAACUUCAUGUCGACUUAGCAGCUCAUUGCUUGCUUUCUAAUAGUAGCAUUUAAUUUGGAGACAUUAUUUAUUAUGUAAUCAUACAUACCCUUGCUUAAUUAGAGACAUUAUUUGGAAUUACCUUGAUCAUCAUUGUUUCUUUUUCUAUUAUUGGAAUCAUCCUUUGUUGCUUUUUCUAUUAUUGGAAAUAAAGUCACUAACCAUGAUCAUCA
rnacentral:lncRNA from 1 species